UACGUAGGGGCCUAGCGUUGUCCGGAUUUAUUGGGCGUAAAGAGCUCGUAGGCGGUUUGGUUAGUCAGGUGUGAAAUCUCCACGCUCAACGUGGAGGGGCCACCUGAUACUGCCAUGACUUGAGUCCGGUAGGGGAGUGUGGAAUUCCCGGUGUAGCGGUGAAAUGCGCAGAGUAUCGGGAGGAACACCCGUAGCGAAGGCGGCUCUCGUGGGACGGUACUGACGCUGAGACGCG
rnacentral:rRNA from 1 species